CAUUCGAGGUUAACCAUCCUCACGCAUCACGCAUCACCUGGACGUCCGUGAAAAGUUGACGAACCGCUAGUUAAAAAUUUGCAACCUUUCACUUGUCCAAUCGGAGCCCCCAUCCAUAAAUCUAGUUUGUCACGAAGACCUAGAAAGGUUUCGAUUCCUCCAUUCUGACCGGUUGCAUUCAUUUCUCUGACAAACAACCACAAGAAAGUGAAAGUAUCUUCCAUUAGGCUCACCAAAGUUAUUCCGAUGACACGGGCUGUAGCCAAAAUUGGUCAGCUCCCCCAAAAAAAUUCAAGUUGAUGAUGUGCAAGGUCGAUGGGCGCUGUUGGCAAAGGAGUAGUUCCAUAAUUUCAUUUGCCCGUCAAUACGUGAAUAAUUAUUCACUCCUGUACGUAAAGAUUAUUUCUCCCGAUCCACUAUCAUUAGUUUUAAUCUUUAAGUUGUUUUGUGUGUGCCAAUAUUCAAAAAGUAAAAUUAUGAUAGCCCUGCCCUUUCGUGUAACAUCAAAAGGCAAGUGAUUGUCAUUGUCGACCUCGCCCAAACUCACAUAGUUUCAAGGAUUUUCAUUUUCCCAUUUUCAUAGCACGACCAUGACAAUGCCAUUGGUUCGAAUUGCUCUGCAAGCUUGUAAUCAAAGGACGUGUAACAACACGGCUUGAUAUGGUGAUUAUCAGAUUGCAAAAGAAAAUCUCGAUCAAGGCAUUAAACCGCUCAACAAUUCUUUGAUGAUGUGAUCGUAGAUAUUCAAGAAUUAAUCACCCAAACUUCCGUGAAUUCCAUUGAAACAGAAAGCCAAUCAAAGGAUGAUUGAUCCUUUUCGGGGACACAGCACUUGGUACUGAAGAAAUAAGAAAGAAGGGCGGGAUCUUUGAACGCUAGACAUUUUUUUUUCUAAUGAUCAUUGGCAAUUUAUCAUUCAUUUUUAAUUUCUUUUAAAUUUUAUCUAGAUAAAGAAAAAUGGUAAGAAAAAUAAACGAACUCUAUCUAAUAUCUUUGAGGAAAGAAAAUGGAACGAUCGUGGAUAAAGUAUAACCUUGUACGUUUCUCAAUGCCAAUGAUUUGAUAAUGUUGUUAUGUCACUUGCGGAAAGGCGAAUGUACUUUCGGGAAUAAAAUUCAUGAAUCUU